rnacentral:rRNA from 2 species
AGGUGUCAUCAUACCAACACUAAUGCCCGGAUCCCAUCAGAACUCUGUAGAUAAGUGUGUUAGGAUGGGUGACCUCUUGGGAAGUCCUCGUGUUGCACCUC